rnacentral:misc_RNA from 1 species
GGGAGAAGAACCCAUUUCUAUUGUCAAUUAGGCCUAGUGAAAAGUUGUGGCCCAAAUCAGGCCUGGCCUGAACCAGAGCCCAAAUUUUGAAGAGACACUUGGCAUCUAAUUAUCAUAUCAAUUCAGUUCUUUCCUGCCAGAGAAGAGAACCCUAAAAAUGGAAUUUUUGUAAAAUUUCGACCCAUUGAAUCAUUCGUGUCUUCGCUCCAAAAUUUCUUCAAAUCAUGGUUGCUGCAUUUCACAUUUCCAGUUCUGCAUUAUCCUUUCUGUUCGUGAUUUUCCAUCUUCUAGCCCUAUAUCCCAUUUCUGGUCUUUCACUUGUUACCCUAGUCACUAGCAACCCCAACUUCGAUCCCCAAAUUGCUCUUCUUGGAGACGCCAAGUUCUCCGAUGAUGGCUCUCGUGUGCAACUUACAAGACCUCAUGCCUCAAGCUCUGGUCUUCUCUUUUACAAGGAUCCCUUCAAAUUUCUCAGUUCUAGUCCCAGCAAAAUGUCAUCGUUUUCCACGGAGUUUGAGUUUGAGUUCUCUGGUAAUGGGGAUAAUAUAUCUCUUAUUAUGUGUAACUAUAAUUUUGCAUCAAAAUUUCUGGGUCAAUUUCCAUUUGAGGUUUCUAGUGAGAAAGGGUAUCUGGAUAUUGAAUUUGGCGCAUCAAUGGAUGGCAAUGUAGGUGAGUCUGGUACUAGUAAUGUAUUCGUAAGUGUUAAGAGUGGAGUGAAACUGAAGGCUUGGAUUAAUUAUGAUGCGAGUUCCAAAAGAUUAGAGGUUAGGUUAAGUAAAUUGAGUGAUAAAAGGCCUUAUAAUCCAAUCAUUGCAUAUUCGAUUGAUCUGUCUAAUAUGUGGGAAGUUAGUGAUGUUUAUGCGGCCUUAGGCUCAAGGAAUGGUAACAACUCAUUAGAGACAUAUUUCGUGUAUUCAUGGAGGUUUAGGUUGAGGAAUUUUCCUGACUGGAUGCAUUCCUUACCAGUUGAUCCACAUGUUUCUGUGGAUAAUAGCAAUGAGACUUUGAGAGUGCAUAGUAGGAGAUUCUGUCCUUUUACUAUUCUUGCUGGGAUGAUUUUUGCUACUGGAUGUGGAGCAUUAUUUGCGUUUAUGGUGCUAUUUGUGUGGGCAAUCUAUGUCAAUAGGCGCACUGUAUUUCCAAUUGAAGGUAAUGUGCAGCCAGUGGCAUUCAGGUAUGAAAAAUUCAGUGUAGUUGUGGAGAAAGAUGGGAAAGUGGUUAAGAAUUAGAGAUCAUGCAGUAUAUUACUUGUGAAUUUACUUGGCAAUAGAGCUUGCAGCGAAUGAAGUUAUGUUAUUAUGUAAGUUGUUUGUGUUGUUAUUCUUGUUGUACUAACAAAACUAAUGAAAUGUACAGUUUCUUUGGGUAUCCAAAACGUAGUAUGCAAUGAACUGUUUUGUAUCUGUUGAGCUUGAUCAUUAGGCGAUGUAUGUACUACCUCACUGAUGAUUUUAAUUUAUCUACUUCUUAAUAUCAGUGCAAGUAACUUCACUGCUUAGAUUUCUGUUUGAUUAUCUUAAAACAGAUAAGCACUAAAGGAGUGGCAAGUGGCAAGUGGCAAGUGGCAACAAGCUUGCUAUGUAGAGUCAAGAGUGUUCAUGGUGUUAUGCAUUUUGCUAUGUAGACAACCACUGUGAUUGUUUUCCUAGAAAAUAGUUAGAAUGCCACGCUGUAUUAAUCUCUUCUUCUCUGUCUUCCCUCUCUUGUUUACUUAUUUUUCUUAAAGAUGCAGAAUGGAAGCAAAUGAUCCAUAUAGAUUAUAGUGGAUCCUAACUAGUUC